UGAAAAAGAAUGGAAGGAUCUCCAAGACGUGCCACAAAACGGAAAAAACCCUGGUGCAAAACACCAAGGUCUCCAUCAUAUGGACCCAGGUGCUUGUAAGUGCAGAGAGUAUCUCUGGAAGGACGCCCAAGAAAUUCUAACACGGGUGCCUCCAGGCAAGGGAACUCACUGGCCUCAGGACCAAGGAAUGUCAAGGCCAGGGAUUACCAGCAAAUGUCAGAAGCUAGAAGAGCCAAAGGGCAGAUUCUCCCUCUGAGUCCUCAGAAGGAACCAACCUUGCUAAUACCUUGAUAGUGGACUUCUAAUCUCCAGAAUGUACACAGACCUUCCUAGGACAGAAGUGUGGCCAAGCUAUUGUAAGAACAUUUCAAACUCGCCAAGUCUCCAGUCUCAAGAUAACACUGGAGAUACAGCCCCUGUCCUUUUGUUCUCUCCCAUGAAAGGUUUAAUUAAAUAUUUCCAGGGUCUCUCCUUUAUCCAUUUUUAAAUCAAUAAAGGGCAUUUUGACCAUUCA